UACGUAGGGUGCGAGCGUUUAAUCGGAAUUACUGGGCGUAAAGCGUGCGCAGGCGGUUUUGUAAGCCAGAUGUGAAAUCCCCGGGCUCAACCCGGGAACUGCGUCCGAUACUGGAGGGCUCGAAUCCGGGAGAGGGAUGUGGAAUUCCAGGUGUAGCGGUGAAAUGCGUAGAUAUCUGGAGGAAUACCGGUGGCGAAGGCGGCAUCCUGGACCGGCAUUGACGCUGAGGAGCGAAAGCCAGGGGAGCAAAGCAGG
rnacentral:rRNA from 1 species